ACCUACGGAGGUAAAGGCGGUUUCGAGUCUUCCCGAGUUUUGACCCAAUAACGGUUCCUGGAACCUUAGAAUUGGCAAGCUCCACGACCACCUCGGGCUGCCCCUCCAUUCGCAUCCCCUAAGUCUCUCCCUUCUUAACUUCAGCCUGGGCUUAUCCCAGACCCUGCCAAACGGCUUUUUGGGCCCUUCAAUGCUUGCUCAUUUCACUUCUGCAGUUACAUUCCUAGCAGGGGAAAUGGAAAUAAUGUCUGUUGCUGUCUUUUCGCAUCCCUCACCCAUUCCCCAUCAUUUUCUCCUUUCCCCACCAAAUCGCCACUGGCUUCCCUCGUCCACUCAGAUCCUCCUAGCUGCUCCCCCUGCCAGCCUCUUGGGGUGCAGGCAGCGGCUCCUGGCAGAUGGUAGUUAGAGGCCGCCGUGGAGGACAAAAGAGCCUCCUCCCUGCAGAAGUCACUGCGCAGUGCCAGGUUACAAAUGCCAGCGGCCUACAGGAACGAGUCUACGGACACAGGCUCACCAGAAAGCGAGAACUUCAAGGGGCCAGCAGAAACCAGGAGCAUAAGGAGCAGGUGAGGAAAGCACCUUUUCUGUCCUAUCCCUCUCCUUCCAACACAGCAUCCCUGAGAUAGGUGUGGAUCCAGUGCCUAGGGCUCAGGGCCCACCGACCCAAAUCUUUUCAGCUCAUAGAUGAUCAUCUAACAGCUCAAGAGAGCGGUGGCUCUUUCUGGGCAGAAGUUCCACGACCAAAGCAAAAAUAGCGCCAGGCACUGCAGUCUGCGGGUACUGCACUGGCCUCAGCCACACAUACAUCCCCCAGGUAAACUUCACCAUGAGCAGUGUCAUUGUCUAGCCAGAGGACUACUCCUCUCUCCCUAAAUACACACACAAAUCUUUACAUAUACACACUGUAGAGACGUUAUCUAACAUUAAGUAUAUCAAAUGUCUGACUCAUUAUUCCAUAUACUGCAGAACUACCAUUCUGAAACAAAUUCCCCCUGCAUCCAUACAAGUUAUUUUAUUUUAAAUGAAUCAAAAAUAAAGGUUGUAUUUAAAGCACAGCCAGCAUCUGUCCCAAUUUAGGUUCUGAAUGCCAGACCGGUUCUUUCGAAAAUGCGUUUAAUAAAAUGUCAGGAUUGCUUCGA